UGGGGAAUAUUGCACAAUGGGCGAAAGCCUGAUGCAGCGACGCCGCGUGAGGGAUGACGGCCUUCGGGUUGUAAACCUCUUACAGCAGGGACGAAGCGCAAGUGACGGUACCUGCAGAAGAAGCACCGGCUAACUACGUGCCAGCAGCCGCGGUAAUACGUAGGGUGCAAGCGUUGUCCGGAAUUACUGGGCGUAAAGAGUUCGUAGGCGGUUUGUCGCGUCGUUUGUGAAAACCAGCAGCUCAACUGCUGGCUUGCAGGCGAUACGGGCAGACUUGAGUACUGCAGGGGAGACUGGAAUUCCUGGUGUAGCGGUGAAAUGCGCAGAUAUCAGGAGGAACACCGGUGGCGAAGGCGGGUCUCUGGGCAGUAACUGACGCUGAGGAACGAAAGCGUGGGUAGCGAACAGG
rnacentral:rRNA from 1 species